AGAACGAACGCUGGCGGCAGGCCUCAAACAUGCAAGUCUAGGGGGUGUAGCAAUACAUCACCGGCGGACGGGUGCGUAACGCGUGGGAAUGUACCUACUGGUUCGGAACAACUGCGGGAAACUGCAGCUAAUACCGAAUGUGCCCGCAAGGGGAAAGAUUUAUCGCCAGUAGAUCAGCCCGCGUAGGAUUAGCUAGUUGGUGGGGUAAUGGCCCACCAAGGCUCCGAUCCUUAGCUGUUCUGAGAGGAAGAUCAGCCACACUGGGACUGAGACACGGCCCAGACUCCUACGGGAGGCAGCAGUUGGAAUCUUGGACAAUGGGGGAAACCCUGAUCCAGCCAUGCCGCGUGAGUGAUGAAGGCCUUCGGGUUGUAAAACUCUUUCGACGGGGACGAUAAUGACGGUACCCGUAGAAGAAGCUCCGGCUAACUUCGUGCCAGCAGCCGC
rnacentral:rRNA from 1 species